UUUGUAUAAUGGGUCAGCGACUUAUAUUCAGUGGCAAGGUUAACCAUCUAGGGGAGCCGUAGGGAAACCGAGUCUUAACUGGGCGUUCAGUCUCUGGAUAUAGACCCGAAACCAGGUGAUCUAGCCAUGGGCAGGUUGAAGGUUGAGUAACAUCAACUGGAGGACCGAACCGACUAAUGUUGAAAAAUUAGCGGAUGACUUGUGGCUAGGGGUGAAAGGCCAAUCAAACCUGGAGAUAGCUGGUUCUCCCCGAAAGCUAUUUAGGUAGCGCCUCGGACGAAUACUACUGGGGGUAGAGCACUGUUAAGGCUAGGGGGUCAUCCCGACUUACCAACCCUUUGCAAACUCCGAAUACCAGUAAGUACUAUCCGGGAGACACACGGCGGGUGCUAACGUCCGUCGUGGAGAGGGAAACAACCCAGACCGCCAGCUAAGGUCCCAAAUUACUACUAAGUGGGAAACGAUGUGGGAAGGCUCAGACAGCCAGGAUGUUGGCUUAGAAGCAGCCAUCAUUUAAAGAAAGCGUAAUAGCUCACUGGUCGAGUCGGCCUGCGCGGAAGAUGUAACGGGGCUAAGUAGUAAACCGAAGCUGCGGCAAUAUACUUUUGUAUAUUGGGUAGGGGAGCGUUCUGUAAGCGGUUGAAGGUGUGUGGUAACGCAUGCUGGACGUAUCAGAAGUGCGAAUGCUGACAUGAGUAACGAUAAAGGGGGUGAAAAACCUCCUCGCCGGAAGACCAAGGGUUCCUGUCCAACGUUAAUCGGGGCAGGGUAAGUCGACCCCUAAGGCGAGGCCGAAAGGCGUAGUCGAUGGGAAACGGGUUAAUAUUCCCGUACUUCUUACAAUUGCGAUGGGGGGACGGAGAAGGCUAGGUGGGCCUGGCGACGGUUGUCCAGGUUCAAGUGCGUAGGCUGAAGAGUUAGGUAAAUCCGGCUCUUUUUAAGGCUGAGACACGACGUCGAGCUACUACGGUAGUGAAGUCAUUGAUGCCAUGCUUCCAGGAAAAGCCUCUAAGCUUCAGAUUGUAAGGAAUCGUACCCCAAACCGACACAGGUGGUCGGGUAGAGAAUACCAAGGCGCUUGAGAGAACUCGGGUGAAGGAACUAGGCAAAAUGGUACCGUAACUUCGGGAGAAGGUACGCUCUCGACGGUGAAGUCCCUCGCGGAUGGAGCUAUUGAGAGUCGCAGAUACCAGGUGGCUGCAACUGUUUAUUAAAAACACAGCACUGUGCAAAAUCGCAAGAUGACGUAUACGGUGUGACGCCUGCCCGGUGCCGGAAGGUUAAUUGAUGGGGUUAGACUUCGGUCGAAGCUCUUGAUCGAAGCCCCGGUAAACGGCGGCCGUAACUAUAACGGUCCUAAGGUAGCGAAAUUCCUUGUCGGGUAAGUUCCGACCUGCACGAAUGGCGUAAUGAUGGCCACGCUGUCUCCACCCGAGACUCAGUGAAAUUGAAAUCGCUGUGAAGAUGCAGUGUACCCGCGGCUAGACGGAAAGACCCCGUGAACCUUUACUACAGCUUGGCACUGAACAUUGACCCUACAUGUGUAGGAUAGGUGGGAGGCUUUGAAGCGCAGUCGCUAGAUUGCGUGGAGCCGUCCUUGAAAUACCACCCUU
rnacentral:rRNA from 1 species